rnacentral:rRNA from 1 species
UACGGGGGGGGUAAGCGUUGUUCGGAAUUACUGGGCGUAAAGGGCUCGUAGGCGGCCAACUAAGUCAUACGUGAAAUCCCUCAGCUUAACUGGGGAACUGCGUGUGAUACUGGAUGGCUUGGAUUUGGGAGAGGGAUGCGGAAUUCCAGGUGUAGCGGUGAAAUGCGUAGAGAUGUGGAGGAACACCAGUGGCGAAGGCGACUCUUUGGCCUGUAACUGACGCUGAGGCGCGAAAGCGUGGGGAGCAAACAGG